UACGUAGGUGGCAAGCGUUGUCCGGAUUUAUUGGGCUUAAAGGGUGCGUAGGCGGCCUUGUAAGUCAGUGGUGAAAUACUCCAGCUUAACUGGAGGGGUGCCAAUGAUACUGCAGGGCUUGAGUACAGAUGAGGUAGGCGGAAUUGACGGUGUAGCGGUGAAAUGCAUAGAUAUCGUCAAGAACACCGAUAGCGAAGGCAGCUUACUGGGCUGUAACUGACGCUGAGGCACGAAAGUGUGGGGAUCAAACAGG
rnacentral:rRNA from 1 species